AGGUUGAGAGGCAUCACUUUGGUGAGCAUGAGCCGGACUCUGGAGCCAGGCAGAUCUCAACCUAUCCCUCAUCUCUGACUAGUAAGUGAUUUGGCUGGCUGUUUGAAGCGUGUAUCGUGGUUUCUGUUGGAAAGCGAGUUAUCCUCAGAAAGUCCACAUGGAGCCGGGAGAUAAAACACAAAACAGCCCAGGGCUACAAGUCCCCGGUGAGUGCACAGGUCUAAGGAGCGGCCUCCAGCUGCUCUGCGAACUUCCCUAACAGAUUUCAGCCACCCAGAGAGCACCAAGGUGAGGACGAUGGGAGAAGACCACGUGGCAAGAAGACUCAAGGGGCCUCCACCUGACAACCCAUUGGCAGCUGUCACUAGGCACGAGACCCCUCCCCAGUCGAACUUCGGAUGGGACUUUAAUUCUACCCAAAACUGGAUUUAAGGCCUGCCAGGAGGUGCUGACUCGUGUUGUUUCAAGGCCCUAAAUGGGUGGUCAUUUGUUAUGUGGCAAAACAUCUUUAAUACAGCGGAGUAUCGAGUACCUAAGAUGCCUGACGUCCUGUAAGCACGAGGAUUAGCUCCGUGUGCUUCCAGCCCUAUGCUACUCACACAAAUCUGAGCAAGUGUAGCUACUGUUACAUGCUGGAUUGCAGGUCAUUGUCUUUCUAACUCCAGGCUACUCGUCCAACUUUAAAUCCUUAUUUUAUUAGAGCUCA
rnacentral:sRNA from 1 species